rnacentral:rRNA from 1 species
GAUGAACGCUGGCGGCGUGCCUAAUACAUGCAAGUCGAGCGAACAGACGAGGAGCUUGCUCCUCUGACGUUAGCGGCGGACGGGUGAGUAACACGUGGAUAACCUACCUAUAAGACUGGGAUAACUUCGGGAAACCGGAGCUAAUACCGGAUAAUAUAUUGAACCGCAUGGUUCAAUAGUGAAAGACGGUUUUGCUGUCACUUAUAGAUGGAUCCGCGCCGCAUUAGCUAGUUGGUAAGGUAACGGCUUACCAAGGCAACGAUGCGUAGCCGACCUGAGAGGGUGAUCGGCCACACUGGAACUGAGACACGGUCCAGACUCCUACGGGAGGCAGCAGUAGGGAAUCUUCCGCAAUGGGCGAAAGCCUGACGGAGCAACGCCGCGUGAGUGAUGAAGGUCUUCGGAUCGUAAAACUCUGUUAUUAGGGAAGAACAAAUGUGUAAGUAACUAUGCACGUCUUGACGGUACCUAAUCAGAAAGCCAGGGCUAACUACGUG